AGAAAAAUGAUGACAAGUUGGCAAAGCAGAGAUCUCAGAGCCCCACUGAUGGCAUGAUCCAGGUGGGGCAUCCUCUGCAUUAGUGGUUCUUAAACUUUUGUGUAUCAGAGUCACCUGGAGGGCUUGUUAAAGCACGGCUUGCUGGCUCCACCCCUAAAGAUUCUGACUCAACAGUCCUGGCUGAGCCUCCGAUUUGCAGUUUCAGGUGAUCCUGAUCUUAGCGGUCCAGUCUGAGAACCAUGCUUUGAGAGCCACUGCUCUGUUGUGAGAAAGAGAAAGGAGGUGAAAGUCAUUGAUGCUGAGGAGGUUGAGAUCCUGGGAGGCGUAGGCCAUUAGUCCACAAUAAAAGCUCAGUGUGCUCAGGGACUCUCGAGUGAACAGGUGCUCAAAGCGUUCGGGGUCAGAAGGGUCCAUUAAGGAGCGAGGGAGGAGAGCGGCAGAGGAGAAGCGCUUUUAGGUGAUGGCUUCGGACCUGCUCUGCCAGGACAUGAAAAAUGGUGUGCCACUUGCUUUUGGCCUCCAUGAAUGAGGAAUCUGUCAUCACUCAAAUCAUUUUUCUUGGAAAGGGAUGUAUCCUACUUAUCAGAGCCAUAGAAGAGGAAUCGGUCUCACAUCUCCACCCUGGAUAAAGCAAUGCAGUGACCUUGGAGCGGAAACACCAGUUAGCCUGUCUGAUACUGUACCACCUGGGACUGAAGGCCAGACCCCUCCAGACUGCUGCAUAGUGGGACGGCAGGGGAAAUGUUGGCAUCUUGAUGGUGAACCAUGAGUAAGGGUACUAUCGAGCCUCAAAGGUGUUCACUGAACAAGAAUUUGCAAAUGUGAUGGGUAUGAUGCCGAUAUGCAGGGAGCUAUGGAGUCACGUCAGAGGAGACUUCACCUAGAAUGCGGAUGCGUCAGGAAUGGCCUCUCUGACAAAGUGCCAUUUAACUUUAAGGGAAGGAGUGAGCACCGAAGAAUCCAUGAAGAGAGGAGUCACACAUGUGAAGGGUCUGAGGUAGAAAGGGGUAUCCUGUGUUGUAAGUAACAGAAGGCCAGUGUGGUGGGAGCAGAAUAACGACCAAUGGUAACUUGGCAUUUUAUGAACCUGGCUGUGUUCAAAGCAGUUUACGUGUUUAAUUUUUGUAACCUUCAUGGCAAGUCUUUGAUGAGGUCCCUGAGAACACAGAGGAGUGAACUAAGUUAACUAACCCAGGGUCAUACAGCUAGGAAGUUCCAUAGCUGGGAUAUGACCAAGACAGUCUGGAGCCAACCCCUGCCCCCUCUGAGCACAGCACCACACUUCAGAGAUGGCAAAGCCAGGACAGUCAAGGACCACAUCACUUGAUUUAGGAAGUCUGGAGUAAGAUCAUAAGUUAAUUUAGACCACACUGAGAGUUCAAUACAGCACCCAGGUCUUCUCCAUACUAACUUCAAUUUCUUUCUUCAUGUGGAAAAUUGGGAGAACCCACCAAGAAUCUGACUCUAUGUUAGGCACCGGAGAACCAUAAGAAGAGAUCAAAUUCGUCCUUAAAAGGCUAAUAAAGUCCCCAUAACUUUGAGGGAAAGAAGAGGUUCAUGUGGGGUAGAGAGCUGAAGGGUUCAUGGAGCAAGCUGAAUCUUGAAGUGACCGAGUAGGAAUCAUUAGGGUCUAGACUGAGGGAAACAGUGGAAGCUUGUCCACACCUUUCCAUUCUUUUAUUUUUUUCAGUAUAUACUGAUUACGUAGUUUCUCCAUGGUUUGGGGCUAGGGAUCAAGAAGAGUGCAGUGAAUUGGACAAAUAAAAUAGAAACCAGCAUGAGGAGGGCACAAGCAUGAGAAAGCUUGUGACUCUGGAUAACACAGAAGAAGCCAGUAGGCACCCAAGAAGCAUGUGGAGAGUUCACGGGGGCUGAGCUUAAGAGGAGGGAAAUGGGGAUAGUGAGAUAAAGCAAUUGAUUGUUCAAGGUGCUAUCAGUGUCAGAUGAAAAAAAAAUUUCCCCUGACAGAUGAGAAGCCAUUUCUAGCUCUUGUGAAGGAAAGAAAAAGAAUUCAUCUCUAGAAUGCUUUGCUGGCAGUUGUGUGAAGUCCACACUGGACAGCAGUGAAACACAAGUGUUAAUAUAAUGUCAUGUCAGGUGGGAGAAGGCUCAAGGAACAGAAAAGUAGGUCUAAAUGUCUUUCAUUUCUCACAUGCCUUGCAUAUCCUUUAAGAUGGUAGUUGCUGGGAAAUUAGUAUGCAUUCUCAUCCUUAGAGGUCAGGAUUAAAUCAGUUUCUCUUUGUUUCUAAAAGUAGACAGGACUUUUGGCUGAUAGGUCAGUUUUAUUAACCAAAAGCUACCUUUAAACUUGGCACUUCUUCAUCCAGAAACAAACAUAAUAUUCACUCUGGACUGCCCUGAACAGAGUAAGAGCAAUGAAUGUAAUUUAAGGAGAUGGUCUUUAAUUAAAAGAGCUACUUGGUAAAUUUC